GUUUUGCCACCAAAAUUUGACAGAGCCUGGAGCUGCUUCUGCUGCCCUGCGUGUGCUCAGUGACCUGGAGAGGAUCUAGCCAAGUCUCUCCUUAGCAGUUCCCAAGCUAUUCUUUCUCUCAUACCGUGCUGCUCUGGGAGGAGAGGGCAGCUCUUGGAGGAUGCUAGUCGUGAGGAAGCCUAUUGGACCACCACAACUCACUUGAAUACUUUGAUCCCAAAUUCUGCUGUUAUUAAAAUAGGCAGUAGGCUGGCAGCUGGGACGUGUGAGAGCAGACGAGGGAUUCUUUUCAGGCGGAGAACGAAUAAGGAAGACUGAGGAUGCAGAUUGGAAUGGAAGAAAAUGCCAAGUGAUUAAAUGGCUCUAGAUGAGUGGAGAUACGGCUUAAGAGAUUGAUGGUUGCCUGCUGGGUGGAGAGAUGGAAGAAAAGAUUACACUCAUGUGCACCAGGAUUGCAAAUCCACUCAUCCCCUCCUCCAUGUUAAAUUGCGGUUGUUUCUUGGUUUUAGCCUUCCCAUGUGUAAACUUUCACAGCUCUGUACUGCACCUUUAUGGCCCCAUCUGCUGUUUCCAUCUCCCAGAACCUCUUAUCUGGUUUUGGGGGAAAAAGCCUAUAAAA